rnacentral:lncRNA from 1 species
CACGGGUUUAUCAUAGUUGCUGAGAUCCUACUUAAGAAUUAAUACUGCAGAUUUACGGAAGAGAAACUUGAUCUCAUGUUUAGAAGUAGAGUUGAGGAGCCAAAUGCCUCAGUGAUCCAUCCUCUAAGACUAUUUACGAGCCCACACCAGCCGAAGGAGGAAGCCUAUGGAAGACAGUGUGCUACAGAAUCUCGGGGCUUGGGGACCGAGGACCAGUGGGCGGGAGCUCAUGAUGGCGUUGGAGAUUACCUGGCUUUGGUUUGAAUCCUAGCUCUCUAACUGGUGAAUCUGCGACUCGAGAUAUCACUACAUCCAAUCGAAGGCAGAAAGCUUAUGGGUGUGAGCAUGCCAAGACAAACAAAAUCAUCCCUCCCUGCUUCUUCUGAAGGAGAAAAAUGAAACUCUUCUGAACUUCGCUGGUCACCAAGAAGAAUCACUUUAUCUCAAAGAGAUUUUUAAAAAUCAUUAUGUUAAAUAGGUUAAGUAAAGGAGCAAAACUUCAAUUUCUGUAAACUUCAUUUUUCCAUGUUAUUAAUAAUUUCUGAAGUUAUUGUGCACCUUAAAACCAGAAGGUCCUUUAGCAACUCUUGUUUCUGAUUAGGCUCAGCCCAGGAUUUGCUAGCUAGCACUUUUUAAAAAGAAAUUGCUACCAGAGAAGAAAUGUUCUCAAAUCCAAUUUCCACAAGAGCCAGGGUGGGAGAAGCCUGUGGACACCUGAAGCCUGAGUAUACUAUCAGUGUUGGGG